rnacentral:rRNA from 1 species
GAUGAACGCUGGCGGCGUGCCUAAUACAUGCAAGUCGAGCGAACAGACGAGGAGCUUGCUCCUCUGACGUUAGCGGCGCACGGGUGAGUAACACGUGGAUAACCUACCUAUAAGACUGGGAUAACUUCGGGAAACCGGAGCUAAUACCGGAUAAUAUAUUGAACCGCAUGGUUCAAUAGUGAAAGACGGUUUUGCUGUCACUUAUAGAUGGAUCCGCGCCGCAUUAGCUAGUUGGUAAGGUAACGGCUUACCAAGGCAACGAUGCGUAGCCGACCUGAGAGGGUGAUCGGCCACACUGGAACUGAGACACGGUCCAGACUCCUACGGGAGGCAGCAGUAGGGAAUCGUCCGCAAUGGGCGAAAGCCUGACGGAGCAACGCCGCGUGAGUGAUGAAGGUCUUCGGAUCGUAAAACUCUGUUAUUAGGGAAGAACAAAUGUGUAAGUAACUAUGCACGUCUUGACGGUACCUAAUCAGAAAGCCACGGCUAACUACGUG